rnacentral:rRNA from 1 species
CAGCCGCCACGGUAAUACGUAGGUGGCAAGCGUUGUCCGGAAUUAUUGGGCGUAAAGCGCGCGCAGGUGGUUUAAUAAGUCUGAUGUGAAAGCCCACGGCUCAACCGUGGAGGGUCAUUGGAAACUGUUAAACUUGAGUGCAGGAGAGAAAAGUGGAAUUCCUAGUGUAGCGGUGAAAUGCGUAGAGAUUAGGAGGAACACCAGUGGCGAAGGCGGCUUUUUGGCCUGUAACUGACACUGAGGCGCGAAAGCGUGGGGAGCAAACAGGAUUAGAUACCCGCGUAGUCCCUGUCUCUUAUAC